rnacentral:misc_RNA from 1 species
AACUACAACACGGCACAAGGU